rnacentral:tRNA from 1 species
GUCCCUCUAGCGCAAUGGAUAGCGCUUUGGACUUCUAAUCCAAAGGUCGUGGGUUCGAAUCCCAUCUGGGAGGGCCU